rnacentral:tRNA from 1 species
GGAGAGAUGCCGGAGUGGUCGAACGGGACGGUUCGGAAAACCGUUGUUCUGAGUAAUUGGGACCGGGGGUUCGAAUCCCUCUCUCUCCG